rnacentral:rRNA from 1 species
GUGCCAGCAGCCGCGGUAAUACGUAGGAGGCGAGCGUUGUCCGGAUUUACUGGGCGUAAAGCGCGCGCAGGCGGCAGUGCAAGUAUGGCGUGAAAUCUCCCUGCUCAACGGGGAGGGUGCGCUGUAGACUGCACAGCUAGAGGUCGGUAGAGGGUGGUGGAAUUGCUGGUGUAGCGGUGAAAUGCGUAGAGAUCAGCAGGAACACCCGUGGCGAAGGCGGCCACCUGGGCCGCACCUGACGCUGAGGCGCGAAGGCUAGGGGAGCGAACGGGAUUAGAAACCCUCGUAGUCC